UCUUUUUUUUCCUCUUCUUCUUCCUCCUUUUCUUUUUCUUUCCCUUCUUUCCCUCUCCUUCCUCUCCUUCCUUCAACCAUCCACAAUAUGAGCAUUUCAAGAAGAUAAAUAAAAGCAGCAACAAAACAAGGAUAUCGAUAAUCCUCUUCUGUUCCAGAAAAAGAAGAAAUAAGAGGAAGAAAGAGAAAG
rnacentral:ribozyme from 13 species